ACGUAGGGUGCAAGCGUUAAUCGGAAUUACUGGGCGUAAAGCGUGCGCAGGCGGUUCGGAAAGAAGGAUGUGAAAUCCCAGGGCUCAACCUUGGAAAUGCAUUGUUAACUACUGAGCUAGAGUAUGGGAGAGGGAGGUAGAAUUCCUGGUGUAGCGGUGAAAUGCGUUGAUAUGAGGAGGAACACCGGAGGCGAAGUGUACCUACCGGAAUUAUACUGAUGCUGAGACGCGAGAGCGUGGGGAGCCAAGAG
rnacentral:rRNA from 1 species